GGGCGGAUGGCCGAGUGGUCUAAGGCGCCAGGUUUAGGCCCUGGUCUCGAAAGAGGCGCGAGUUCGAACCUCGCUUCGCUCA